UUUAUACGACUCACUAUAGGGCGAAUUGGGCCCGACGUCGCAUGCUCCCGGCCGCCAUGGCGGCCGCGGGAAUUCGAUUACGGGGUGCAGCAGGCGCGAAAACUUGGCAAUGCGAGAAAUCGUGACCAGGGAACUCCAAGUGCAUGGGGUAAGACCCAUGCUUUUCUUGACUCUAAAUAGGUCUUGGAAUAAGGGGUGGGUAAGGACGGUGCCAGCCGCCGCGGUAAUACCGGCGCCUCAAGUGGUAGUCGCUUUUAUUGGGCCUAAAACGUCCGUAGCCGGUCUGAUACAUUCGUGGGUAAAUCAACCAGCUUAACUGGUUGAAUUCUGCGAGGACGGUCAGACUUGGGACCGGGAGAGGUGUGGGGUACGCUCAGGGUAGGGGUAAAAUCCUGUCAUCCUGAGCGGACCACCUGUUGCGAAGGCGCCACACUAGAACGGAUCCGACGGUCAGGGACGAAGCCUAGGGGCACGAACCGGAUUAGAUACCCGGGUAGUCCUAGGUGUAAACGCUGUGGACUUGAUGUUGGGGGUGCUCCGAGCACUCUCAGUGUCGAAGCGAAGGUGAUAAGUCCACUGCCUGGGAAGUACGGUCGCAAGGCUGAAACUCAAA
rnacentral:rRNA from 1 species